rnacentral:rRNA from 1 species
AGAGUUUGAUCCUGGCUCAGAUUGAACGCUGGCGGCAUGCUUUACACAUGCAAGUCGAACGGCAGCGCGGGGCAACCUGGCGGCGAGUGGCGAACGGGUGAGUAAUAUAUCGGAACGUACCCAAGAGUGGGGGAUAACGUAGCGAAAGUUACGCUAAUACCGCAUACGAUCUAAGGAUGAAAGUGGGGGAUUCGCAAGAACCUCAUGCUCCUGGAGCGGCCGAUAUCUGAUUAGCUAGUUGGUGAGGUAAAGGCUCACCAAGGCGACGAUCAGUAGCUGGUCUGAGAGGACGACCAGCCACACUGGAACUGAGACACGGUCCAGACUCCUACGGGAGGCAGCAGUGGGGAAUUUUGGACAAUGGGCGCAAGCCUGAUCCAGCAAUGCCGCGUGAGUGAAGAAGGCCUUCGGGUUGUAAAGCUCUUUUGUCAGGGAAGAAACGGUGGAGGUUAAUACCUUCCACUAAUGACGGUACCUGAAGAAUAAGCACCGGCUAACUACGUGCCAGCAGCCGCGGUAAUACGUAGGGUGCAAGCGUUAAUCGGAAUUACUGGGCGUAAAGCGUGCGCAGGCGGUUUUGUAAGUCUGUUGUGAAAUCCCCGGGCUUAACCUGGGAAUGGCAAUGGAGACUGCAAGGCUAGAGUUUGGCAGAGGGGGGUAGAAUUCCACGUGUAGCAGUGAAAUGCGUAGAGAUGUGGAGGAACACCGAUGGCGAAGGCAGCCCCCUGGGUCAAGACUGACGCUCAUGCACGAAAGCGUGGGGAGCAAACAGGAUUAGAUACCCUGGUAGUCCACGCCCUAAACGAUGUCUACUAGUUGUCGGGUCUUAAUUGACUUGGUAACGCAGCUAACGCGUGAAGUAGACCGCCUGGGGAGUACGGUCGCAAGAUUAAAACUCAAAGGAAUUGACGGGGACCCGCACAAGCGGUGGAUGAUGUGGAUUAAUUCGAUGCAACGCGAAAAACCUUACCUACCCUUGACAUGGCAGGAAUCCCGGAGAGAUUUGGGAGUGCUCGAAAGAGAACCUGCACACAGGUGCUGCAUGGCUGUCGUCAGCUCGUGUCGUGAGAUGUUGGGUUAAGUCCCGCAACGAGCGCAACCCUUGUCAUUAGUUGCUACGAAAGAGCACUCUAAUGAGACUGCCGGUGACAAACCGGAGGAAGGUGGGGAUGACGUCAAGUCCUCAUGGCCCUUAUGGGUAGGGCUUCACACGUCAUACAAUGGUACAUACAGAGGGCCGCCAACCCGCGAGGGGGAGCUAAUCCCAGAAAGUGUAUCGUAGUCCGGAUUGUAGUCUGCAACUCGACUGCAUGAAGUUGGAAUCGCUAGUAAUCGCGGAUCAGCAUGUCGCGGUGAAUACGUUCCCGGGUCUUGUACACACCGCCCGUCACACCAUGGGAGCGGGUUUUACCAGAAGUAGGUAGCUUAACCGCAAGGAGGGCGCUUACCACGGUAGGAUUCGUGACUGGGGUGAAGUCGUAACAAGGUAACC